GCCCUCGUAGCUCAGUGGAUAGAGCGUCUGCCUCCGGAGCAGAAGGUCGUAGGUUCGACUCCUAUCGAGGGCA
rnacentral:tRNA from 2 species